AUGUCCUGUCUCAUCUCACUACCAUCAAAGCAGCUGGCUCUCUGCCGUUUCCACUGGCCACUGCAAGGAGAGGCAGCUAGUUUGACCACCGUUCCCCACACUAUCUCACCGGGAGUUUCUCGCCGGAUCGAGCACCGUCUUCCUGCCGCGCGCGGAGUUCACCGGAACCGGAUCCGGCGGAGGGAAGCACGGCUGCCAUUGCUCGCCGCCGUCUCCCAGGGUGACCCGAACCCGAUGCGACGGAGCAGGAUGCCGGACAGGAGAGGCGCGGCCGUGAUCGACGACCUGCCCGACGACAUCAUCUUCGGCAAGAUCCUCAUCACGCUGCCGCCCAAGGACAUCGGGCGCUGCCGCAUGGUCCGCACGUCGUGGCGCAGCGCCACAUUCACGCCGGAAUUCAUGGCCGAGUACCGCCGCCGGCAGCCGAGUACCGCCGCGCAGUUUCGUCACCCUCCGUGA
rnacentral:rRNA from 1 species